rnacentral:lncRNA from 1 species
UUUUUUUUUUUUUUUUUUUUAAUCUUUUUGUUUGUUUGUUUUAAAGAAUUUAUUCAUAGAGACACAGAGAGAGAGGGGGGCAGAGGCACAGGCAGAGGGAGAAGCAGGCUCCAUGCAGGGAGCCCGACGCAGGACUCAAUCCCAGGUCUCCAGGAUCACACCCCGGGCUGCAGGCAGCGCUAAACCGCUGCGCCACUGGGGCUGCCCUGUGUAUAAGUUUUCGUGUGAAGAUGCUUUCAUGUCUUUCGGGUAUAGACCUAGGAGUGGAAUUGCUGAACCACGUCAUUGCUCUGUUUAGUCACUUGAGGAACUGCUAGGGUGUUUUCAACAGUAGCUGCACGAUUUUACAUUUCCACCAGAAGAAUAUGAGGGUUCCAGUUUCUCCACAUGCUCACCAACACUUCUCAUCCAUCUAUCUUUUUUGCCAUAUAGCCAUUCUGGUGGGUGUGAAGUGGUAUCUUGUUGUGGUUUCUAAUAGUUUAUGUUUUAAGUUAGACCACAUCAGACAUGCUUUCCAAAUCUAGUGACACCUCUCCAGUUAUCUUCCUGUGACACAAUGACAAAGAAUGGGAGCCAGGACUUGAGGAGGUAGACAUGAGACAGGUGGUGCAUGGAGAAAGUGAGGGAGGUUUGGUGUUGCAGGGUCAUCCCGUCCUCCAUCCUUCUAUUCCUAGCUUUGACUUGUGUUUUAGCCAUUAAGAGGCUGGACACAGUGGGUUAUUGCUGGAGAUCACUGACUUGUUCCCUCCUGGCACCCAUAGCUAGGGAUAGCUACGAAGUUACCUUCCUAUCAGGAGGUGGAGUCUAUUCAUUCCUGUCUUUCUGCCUCUAGCCGCCACUUGUUCUUUCCAGUUCAUUCUCUCUUCUCACUGUAGCCAGUAAUUUUUCUCAAGUUUAAGCCUGAUCAUAUCCCUGCUCAAAAUUCUAAAAUGGUUUUUCAUUAGCUUGGGAAGAAGUCCAUACCUCUCAUUGUGACAGUUGAGUCCCUGAUGGAGCUGACCCAGCUGAUCUUUUCUUACAAGGCUUAUACUUCCUCAGGGAUCCCAUGCUAUGCUGUUGCCUCUGCUUGGGACACAAUUCCCUCCCCGCCCUUUUGGCCAUCUGCUCAACUUUCAGGUUUCAACUAGAUAUCACUUCCUCCAGAAAGCCUUCCCUCAGCCCAUCCUCUGAGACUGAGUGCCCCUCCUGAAUAAGCCCAAAGUGUCCCGGCAGGCUAACCUUUCCCACAGCACUUUUCAGGGUCUGCAACUUUCUCCAUUGUUAGACUGUGGGCAACAAGAGGGGGCCCCAGGGCUUGUUAAAUAUUUGGGAACUGAUUAUUCCUCUGAAGCCCUGUACUGUGAUUGUUUACUGGCCCAGCAAGCGUCUUGAGGGCUGAAGGCUAUUGCAUCCCCAUGUUCAACACAGUGCCUGGCACAUGAGCCAUGUAAUCCAUGGAACAGCAAGAUGAUGACUGUUGCUGUAGUUAGAGGUUCUAGAGCUGAGCAGAGAGAAGGAAUAGUGCUUAAAUAGAAUGUAGUGAAGUGCCUUCCAUAUACUACAGUGCUAGGUGAGUAGGAAGAGUGGUAGCAACCUGGCAAGAGCCCAGGUCUUCCAGAGGAGCUAGCUCAUUGAAUUGAUUGCAAAUUCAUGUUCCUCUCUAGUUAUUGUUAAAACAUUGUUAUUAGGAUAUUUCAAAAGAAAAGUUUUUAGGGGCAGCCCGGGUGGCUCAGCAUUUUAGCGCCGCCUUCCACCCAGGGUCUGAUCCUGGGGACCUGGGAUCAAGUCCCACGUCAGGCUCGCUGAAUGGAGCCUGCUUCUCCAUUCUCCCUCUGCCUGUGUCUCAGCCUCGCUCUCUCUCUCUCUCUCUCUGUCUCUCAUUAAUAAAUAAAAUCUUAAAAAAAAAGUUUUUAGUUUUCUCACUGAUUAUUAGUCUUUGACAGUUCAACCACUAUGUUUGUCUGUAGUAGCGAUUCUUAACUGAAGAUCAUAAAAUUCCUUGGAUUAUCUAGCCCAGUAAUUCCUGCCUGGAUGCAUCAAAACCGGAAUUCUAAUGUGAUAAAUCUGGUCUUGUGUGAGUCACAUGUGAGGCCCGAGUCCUUAUAAUCUUUUCUUGAAUACUUUCAGGGAUUGGGAGCUCAUGAUCUAUAAUGUAUCACAUUCUACUUCUGGAACAAUAUUAGGAAAGUCUCUCUUAUAUUGAGCUAAAAUCCAUCUCCCUGAAACUCUACACUUGGGCUAGUUUGCCCCUAUGGAGUAUAAUGGUCUUUGCCCUCUCCCAUGCAGGAAUCCUUUGGCUCUGUAAAUGCAGAUCAUAUUGUGCCCCCCACCACCACCCCAACACAUCUUUCCUAGUGUUUUCUCCUGCAUAAACCUCUCCUGUUCUCAGACUAUACCGCACAGGAAUGAUCUCCAGGUUUAGUGAGUUUUGUUUGUAAUUGCAUUAAAGUGCAGAGGACCAAAUGGGGACAGUUCACCACAGCCUGGAUUGACCAAUCAGGGGGAGGAGAGGGCCUGCUCUCACCCUACCUCUUGCCACUAUUUCUUUUGAUCUAGCCUGUGAUCACUUUUAAUUCAGUCAGUUUGCAGUUGGCAUAGGGUGAUAUUUUGUAUUAAUCCAAAAUCUACAGGUCUUUCCUCCAUGCAACUCAAUCCCUAUCUGCUAUAAAUCUAAUAGGGUUUUUAUAAUCAAUACCUGGCAUUUGUGCUAUCUUGUUAGAUUGUAUCUUUUGGUUCCAAACCGAUUCUUUCUAAAUAGGAAGCAGGCUCAGAACAGCCAUACUUGUGAAAUUAGGGCAGUUAUUCACUGCUGCUUCCCAGUUUAGGGAGCAGCAACAUGUAGGUAGUUGGUCAUUAGAGAACAGCGGGACUGUAUUUCUAACCAAGUCAGACCUGCUUCCCUUCCCUGCUGUACAGCACCCCCAACAUUGUGCUGAACACGUUGCCUUCAUUAUCUUUAGUCCCUGCAGCAGCUCAGCUGUGAAAUCAGGGUGUGGUCUGGAUAUAUCCAGUUCAUUUGAGAAUGAUUUUAAGUAAAAUAAAAUCUCAGGUCUUAUCCCAGAGAUUCUAAUUCAGUAGGAAUGAAUAACAUAUCUUUUCCAGAAGCUUUCCCAGCGAUCCAAUGCACCUGUUUGUUUGGGAGUGACUGUUUCAGUUAGCAGGUUAUAGUUGCUUGACUCUUGAACAAGACAGCUUGGGUUUGAUUGUCUUCCUCCCUCUAGAGCUUGCUGCAGCGGAAGCCUUCAGGGAAGAUGGCUGAAUGAAAGUUAAGAUGCACAUUAAGUGUCAGGAGAGUGAAGAUGUCUGGUGUUGGGAGUCCUGAGCUUUCUGAAGGCUAGGCAUGCAGCCUUCUCUGGAACUCUGAUGACUAACCAGGGUGAGGGCUCAGCCCAGUGUGACAUGACAUACAGAGGAAGGAGGGCAGCAUUGUGAGAUGAUCAGGCUUCCUGGACAGGCAAAGAUCCUGGGCACCUCUGCCCUUCUGGGAAACAACAGAAAUGACCAUUGUACAUGAGGACACAGCUUCGUGUUCCCCAACCUUCAUCUCAUUAUUCAUUAAAAGUCAAGUGUUACAAACAUGCCUGACUUAAAAAAAAUGCUAUUGGAUAAAGAUGGUACCUUUUAAACAUCUGUUCAGAAAUAACAUAAGAGGAUACUGAGGACCUCUGUGGAAUGUCCAAACAAGACAGUAGGGAAUUUAGGACUCAGGUGGUUUCAUCUUCCACUUGUGCCCAUCUCCAUCAGCUUUAAUGGCAGGAGACCAUACAUCCACUGGCAGGAGACCAGUCCUGGAGUGUGGGGCAGGGAGCUAACUCUCCUGGUGAAAAGGGGCAGGCCUCAAACAUGUUACACCGUUUUGACUAAUUUUUAUCUAGUAACAAUGUCAGAACUGAAAGUGCUCUUUAAGAGGGACAAAAUGAGGUGCCAGAGGGACGGUACCUGCCCAGUGUUUAUAGUGAGCCCGACACUGAGCCCUGGGUUCUUGUACUCCAACAUGCUGCUGCACCAAAGCACUCAAGGUAACUAACCUUGGAAUGGACUUUUGUAUGCAGAAUGAAACAGGGUCCCAAUAUCAUUUAAUGCAUACAUUUAAACAAUUGCCCCAGCACCAUUAUUGGUGGGUUAAAAAUUUCCCUACUGUUCUGCAACAGCACCUGUCAUAAACCAGUUUUCAUACAUACAGGGGUCUGUCUACUGUUCCUCUGGUCUGUUUGUCACAGUGCCAGUAUGAUGCUGGCUUAAUUGCCAUUGCUCUUUAAUUACAUCAUGGCGUCUGGCAGAGGGAGUCUCACACCUGUGUUGCAUCACAGGUUUCAGAAUCA